rnacentral:rRNA from 1 species
GAUGAACGCUGGCGGCGUGCCUAAUACAUGCAAGUCGAGCGAACAGACGAGGAGCUUGCUCCUCUGACGUUAGCGGCGGACGGGUGAGUAACACGUGGAUAACCUACCUAUAAGACUGGGAUAACUUCGGGAAACCGGAGCUAAUACCGGAUAAUAUAUUGAACCGCAUGGUUCAAUAGUGAAAGACGGUUUUGCUGUCACUUAUAGAUGGAUCCGCGCCGCAUUAGCUAGUUGGUAAGGUAACGGCUUACCAAGGCAACGAUGCGUAGCCGACCUGAGAGGGUGAUCGGCCACACUGGAACUGAGACACGGUCCAGACUCCUACGGGAGGCAGCAGUAGGGAAUCUUCCGCAAUGGGCGAAAGCCUGACGGAGCAACGCCGCGUGAGUGAUGAAGGUCUUCUGAUCGUAAAGCUCUGUUAUUAGGGAAGAACAAAUGUGUAAGUAACUAUGCACGUCUUGACGGUACCUAAUCAGAAAGCCACGGCUAACUACGUG